rnacentral:tRNA from 1 species
GCUGACGUAGCUCAAUCGGCAGAGCUCCGGUUUUGUAAACCGGCGGUUGUGGGUUCGAUUCCCACCGUCAGCU